GCCCUCGUAGCUCAAUGGUAGAGCGCGUCACUAGUAAUGACGAGGUUGCCGGGUAAGCUACUCACGAUGAAAUCCAUUGUACAAAAAACUAAUGAGCAAUAGUUCGAUUCCGUCCGAGGGCA